GAUGAAGAACGUAGCGAAAUGCGAUAAGUAAUGUGAAUUGCAGAAUUCAGUGAAUCAUCGAAUCUUUGAACGCACAUUGCGCCCGCCAGUAUUCUGGCGGGCAUGCCUGUCUGAGCGUCAUUUCAACCCUCAGCCCCCGUUCGCGGGGCGCUGGCGUUGGGGAUCGGCCGUCCUUGCGGCGGCCGGCCCCGAAACACAGUGGCGGUCUCCCGUAGACUCCCCUGCGUAGUAACACUACCUCGCAGAAGGGACGAGCGGGCUGGCAACGCCGUAAAACCCCCCACUUCUCAAGGUUGACCUCAGAUCAGGUAGGAAUACCCGCUGAACUUAAGCAUAUCAAUAAGCGGAGGA
rnacentral:misc_RNA from 1 species